CAGCAGCCGCGGUAAUACGAAGGGGGCUAGCGUUGUUCGGAUUUACUGGGCGUAAAGCGCACGUAGGCGGACUUUUAAGUCAGGGGUGAAAUCCCGGGGCUCAACCCCGGAACUGCCUUUGAUACUGGAAGUCUUGAGUAUGGUAGAGGUGAGUGGAAUUCCGAGUGUAGAGGUGAAAUUCGUAGAUAUUCGGAGGAACACCGGUGGCGAAGGCGGCUCACUGGACCAUUACUGACGCUGAGGUGCGAAAGCGUGGGGAGCAAACAGGAUUAGAGACCCCCGUAGUCCCUGUCUCUUAUAC
rnacentral:rRNA from 1 species